AGGCGAGAUUAGAUCUCCUUU
rnacentral:snRNA from 1 species